ensembl:snRNA U6 U6 spliceosomal RNA
GUGCUAGAAGCUUCAAUAGCACAUAUACUAAUACUCGAAUAAUACAGAGAUUAGCAUGGCCCCUGCACAAGGAUGACACACAAAUUUGGAGAAGUGUUCCAUAUUUCU